GCUAGGUCGGAUAAACGCUCAGUUAAAACCUGUAACUUGCUUAUCCGCAGUUUCCUCGACACCGUUCUAUCUCCGAAUACACUAUUAUCGUUGCAAUGAUACACACUGAAAUAUUAUAUCUCAAUUUGGUUGCAACUCCUACACGCGGAUGUUUGAAGGUAAAUCCGCAAAAAUGUAAUUAGCGAAGAUGAGAGAAGAAACGAGAAAUAUGAAGAAGGAAGGACGGACAAAGAUAAGAGAUAAGCGACGUGGAUGCUGCUCUGCGCGAGCGCCAGAAGGCACAGAAAUAUGCCCGACCACAACCAGACCGCUUCUACUAAAAGAAAGACCGCCUCGCUCGGGCGCGGCAUAAAAUAUUACAAAGCAAUUUUCUUUAAAAUAAGAAAUUUCUACGAGAGACAUUCGAAAGCAAUUAAAUCUUGACUUUAAAAAGGCAUACACACAUAUACAGGCAUAAAAUUAAUGUCGUACGUUUUUAUUUGUUAAAUACAAAAAACUUAAUUCAGAUGUAAUCAUAUCUUUCAUUUGAAAUAAUAGUUUGUAAUAUUUGUGAGGAUAGAAAACAGAAGUUACGCUCAG